rfam:Gossypium arboreum cultivar AKA8401 contig_44522_1, whole genome shotgun sequence.
AUCCCAUGAUGAGGGCAUUUACGAAGUAAUUCUUUGAAUUUCUCCCAUGCCUCGUGCAAAGAGUCGUCCUUUAAUUGUUGAAAAGUGGUUAUCUCAUUUCGUAACUU